GACGAACGCUGGCGGCGUGCUUAACACAUGCAAGUCGAACGGAAAGGCCCUGCUUUUGUGGGGUGCUCGAGUGGCGAACGGGUGAGUAACACGUGAGUAACCUGCCCUUGACUUUGGGAUAACUUCAGGAAACUGGGGCUAAUACCGGAUAGGAGCUCCUGCUGCACGGUGGGGGUUGGAAAGUUUCGGCGGUUGGGGAUGGACUCGCGGCUUAUCAGCUUGUUGGUGGGGUAGUGGCUUACCAAGGCUUUGACGGGUAGCCGGCCUGAGAGGGUGACCGGCCACAUUGGGACUGAGAUACGGCCCAGACUCCUACGGGAGGCAGCAGUGGGGAAUAUUGCACAAUGGGCGGAAGCCUGAUGCAGCAACGCCGCGUGCGGGAUGACGGCCUUCGGGUUGUAAACCGCUUUCGCCUGUGACGAAGCGUGAGUAACGGUAAUGGGUAAAGAAGCACCGGCUAACUACGUG
rnacentral:rRNA from 1 species